GCUAGGCAAUGGGGGUUAAGUGACUUGCCCAAGGUCACACAGCUCGGAAGUGUCUGAGGCCAGAUUUGAACCCAGCACAGUAUUGAUUCUAAGAUGGAAGGUAAGGGAUUUUUUUUUUUUUAAAGAAUGCAUUAAAGCAAUGCUAUUCCAAUGAGAAUGGGCAAUUAGUAGCACAGUGGAUAGAGGGCCCAGUUUGGAGUCAGGAAGACUCAUGCUCCUUAGUUCAAAUCUUACCUCAGACAUUUAUUAGCCGUAUGACCCUGAGCAAGUCAUUUAACCCUGUUUGCCUCAGUUUUCUCUUCUUGUCAAAUGAACUGGAGAAGGAAAGGGCAAACCAUUCCAGGAUCUUUGCCAAGAAAACCACAAAUGGAGAUGCAAAGUGUCAGACUCAAAAAUGACUGAACAACAAGAGUAUUCCAAUGAGAACCAAGUAAGACAUGCCAUUUUAUGGCAUUCAAUAUCCUUUCAGUGUUUGUCCUGGGGUGUCUGUCAUGUCUGAGUUUGCCAAAAGUUCAGUCCCACCACUGCAAGGAAAAGAAAGCCUGGCAAAUCGUAGUGUUGAUUCUGCUCCAGAAUGGGCUAAAGCAAUUGAAAAUCAUCAGGGCUGCUGAAAGAAUGGAAGAACCUCUAUGUGAAAGCUCUUUCAAUACUACACAUCCAGCAAUAAGGUACAAUGAUCAGCUAUGGAUGAUGUAACUAUUAUCAGCAAUGAUCCAAGACAACUCCAAGGGACUCAUGAUGGAAAAGGCUAUCUUCCACCAUGGAAGCAAAUUAUGGAGUCUGAAUGCAGAUUGAAGCAGAUCAUUUUUCACUUUAUUUCCUUCAUGGGGUUUUUGUUUCCCUUGUAUAAAUGAUAUUUGUAUCCUUUCGCAACAGGAUGAACAUGAAAAUGUGUGGUAUGAUUGUAUGCAUAUAAUCUAUAUCAUGUUAUCUGCUUCUUGGGGGAGAAGGAUAGAAGGGAGGGAGAGAGAGAACAUGGAUUAAAAAAUGUCUGAAAAUCAUG
rnacentral:lncRNA from 1 species